rnacentral:rRNA from 1 species
GACGAACGCUGGCGGCGUGCUUAACACAUGCAAGUCGAAUGGAAAGGCCUUUUCGGAGGUACUCGAGUGGCGAACGGGUGAGUAACACGUGGGUGAUCUGCCCUGCACUCUGGGAUAAGCCUGGGAAACUGGGUCUAAUACCGGAUAGGACCGCACUUUAGUGUGUGUGGUGGAAAGUUUUUUCGGUGUAGGAUGAGCCCGCGGCCUAUCAGCUUGUUGGUGGGGUAAUGGCCUACCAAGGCGGCGACGGGUAGCCGGACUGAGAGGUUGGUCGGCCACAUUGGGACUGAGAUACGGCCCAGACUCCUACGGGAGGCAGCAGUGGGGAAUAUUGCACAAUGGGCGCAAGCCUGAUGCAGCGACGCCGCGUGGGGGAUGACGGCCUUCGGGUUGUAAACUCCUUUCGCCAGGGACGAAGCGUUUUGUGACGGUACCUGGAGAAGAAGCACCGGCUAACUACGUG